rnacentral:rRNA from 1 species
GGAGGGGUGCAAGCGUUGUUCGGAAUUACUGGGCGUAAAGCGCGUGUAGGCGGCCUCUUAUGUCAGGGUGUGAAAGCCCUGGGCCCAACCCAGGAAGUGCGCCUGAAACUGAGAGGCUUGAGUACGAGAGAGGAGGACGGAAUUCCCAGUGUAGAGGUGAAAUUCGUAGAUAUUGGGAAGAACACCGGUGGCGAAAGCGGUUCUCUAGAUCGAUACUGACGCUAAGACGCGAAAGCGUGGGGAGCAAACAGGAUUAGAUACCCUGGUAGUCCACGCCGUAAACGAUGGAUACUAGUUGUUGCGAGCUUUUAAACUCGCAGUGACGACGCUAACGCAUUAAGUAUCCCGCCUGGGAAAGUACGGCCGCAAGGUUA